rnacentral:rRNA from 1 species
AGUACGCUGGCGGCAGGCCUAUCACAUGCAAGUCGAGCGGAUGAAGGGAGCUUGCUCCUGGAUUCAGCGGCGGACGGGUGAGUAAUGCCUAGGAAUCUGCCUGGUAGUGGGGGAUAACGUCCGGAAACGGGCGCUAAUACCGCAUACGUCCUGAGGGAGAAAGUGGGGGAUCUUCGGACCUCACGCUAUCAGAUGAGCCUAGGUCGGAUUAGCUAGUUGGUGGGGUAAAGGCCUACCAAGGCGACGAUCCGUAACUGGUCUGAGAGGAUGAUCAGUCACACUGGAACUGAGACACGGUCCAGACUCCUACGGGAGGCAGCAGUGGGGAAUAUUGGACAAUGGGCGAAAGCCUGAUCCAUCCAUGCCGCGUGUGUGAAGAAGGUCUUCGGAUUGUAAAGCACUUUAAGUUGGGAGGAAGGGCAGUAAGUUAAUACCUUGCUGUUUUGACGUUACCAACAGAAUAAGCACCGGCUAACUUCGUGCAGCCCCGCCCGCGGUA